GAUGAAGAACUUAGCGAAAUGCGAUAAGUAGUGUGAAUUGCAGAAUUCCGUGAAUCAUCGAGUUUUUGAACGCAUAUUGCGCCCUCUGGUAUUCCGGGGGGCAUGCCUGUUCGAGCGUCAUUAAAUAACCCUCAAGCAUAGCUUGGUGUUGGGCUUUUUUACGUCCUUGACUGGGAUGGGCCUAAAAAUUAGUGGCGAUGGCUUUUUUACUUUCAAGCGUAGUAAAUCUCGUCUUGCUAAAGAGGAAAAAGAUUUUUUUUCUGCCAAAAAUUUUAACAUUUAAAGUUGACCUCGGAUCAGGUAGGAUUACCCGCUGAACUUAAGCAUAUCAAUAAGCGGAGGA
rnacentral:misc_RNA from 1 species